rnacentral:tRNA from 1 species
AGAAUGUUGGUGUAAAGGGUGCACGCUUAAACUUUAGGUAAGCAGAAUAAGUUCAAAUCUUAUACAUUUUG